rnacentral:rRNA from 1 species
UGGGGAAUAUUGGACAAUGGGCGAAAGCCUGAUCCAGCCAUGCCGCGUGUGUGAAGAAGGCCUUUUGGUUGUAAAGCACUUUAAGCGAGGAGGAGGCUACUUGGAUUAAUACUCUAGGAUAGUGGACGUUACUCGCAGAAUAAGCACCGGCUAACUCUGUGCCAGCAGCCGCGGUAAUACAGAGGGUGCGAGCGUUAAUCGGAUUUACUGGGCGUAAAGCGUGCGUAGGCGGCUUUUUAAGUCGGAUGUGAAAUCCCUGAGCUUAACUUAGGAAUUGCAUUCGAUACUGGGAAGCUAGAGUAUGGGAGAGGAUGGUAGAAUUCCAGGUGGAGCGGUGAAAUUCGUAGAGAUCUGGAGGAAUACCGAUGGCGAAGGCAGCCAUCUUGCCUAAUACUGACGCUGGGGUAAGAAAGGAUGGGGAGCAAACAGG